rfam:Pantoea vagans C9-1, complete genome.
CAGCAUCGUGGGAGCUGUAACCCAGGGGCGGUAGCGUG